GACGAACGCUGGCGGCGUGCCUAAUACAUGCAAGUUGAGCGAUGAAGAUUGGUGCUUGCACCAAUUUGAAGAGCAGCGAACGGGUGAGUAACGCGUGGGGAAUCUGCCUUUGAGCGGGGGACAACAUUUGGAAACGAAUGCUAAUACCGCAUAACAACUUUAAACAUAAGUUUUAAGUUUGAAAGAUGCAAUUGCAUCACUCAAAGAUGAUCCCGCGUUGUAUUAGCUAGUUGGUGAGGUAAAGGCUCACCAAGGCGAUGAUACAUAGCCGACCUGAGAGGGUGAUCGGCCACAUUGGGACUGAGACACGGCCCAAACUCCUACGGGAGGCAGCAGUAGGGAAUCUUCGGCAAUGGACGAAAGUCUGACAGAGCAACGCCGCGUGAGUGAAGAAGGUUUUCGGAUCGUAAAACUCUGUUGGUAGAGAAGAACGUUGGUGAGAGUGGAAAGCUCAUCAAGUGACGGUAACUACCCAGAAAGGGACGGCUAACUACGUG
rnacentral:rRNA from 1 species